UCAGCCUCUCUUUGUUCUUCUCUUCUUUUCUUAGCUGUGCCUCCUUUGGCUUCGUUCUCUCCACCUCCAGCUCAAUAGUCACCAUCGUCAUUGAAGAAAAUACAAUAUCUUGAUUCAAGUCCAACUCAUCUCCAUCAGAAGGUAAACUCGUCUCCGCCUCCAACUAUGAUGCUAUAUUUUUUCUUCAUGUUCUAUGGAUGCACUUUUUGAUUAUCUCCUUCUUUUUCUUUGUGAGAAUUAUUUUAUUUGCUGUGUAUAUAUAUAGUGGUGACAUAAAAAAUUUUAGA
rnacentral:lncRNA from 1 species